GACGAACGCUGGCGGCGUGCUUAACACAUGCAAGUCGAACGAAGUGGCGAACGGGUGAGUAACGCGUAAUCAACCUGCCCUUCAGCGGGGGACAACAGUUGGAAACGACUGAUAAUACCGCAUACUGAAGGAGGGGUUUGCGUCUGAUUAGCUAGUUGGAGGGGGAACGGCCCACCAAGGGGUGGAUCAGUAGCCGGUCUGAGAGGCUGAACGGGCACCUUGGGACUGCAGCACGGCCCAGACUCCUACGGUAGGCAGGAGGUGGGAAACUUCCGCAAUGGACGGAAGUCUGACGGAGCAACGCCGCGGGAGUGAUGACGGCCUUCGGGUUGUAAAGCUCUUUUAAUCGGGACGCGGUACCGGAAUAGAAAGCCACGGCUAACUACGUGCCAGCAGCCGCGGUAAUAC
rnacentral:rRNA from 1 species